rnacentral:rRNA from 1 species
UACGAAGGGGGCUAGCGUUGCUCGGAAUCACUGGGCGUAAAGGGUGCGUAGGCGGGCAGGUAAGUCCGUGGUGAAAUCCCCGAGCUUAACUCGGGAACUGCCAUGGAUACUAUUUGUCUUGAAUAUUGUGGAGGUAAGCGGAAUAUGUCAUGUAGCGGUGAAAUGCUUAGAUAUGACAUAGAACACCAAUUGCGAAGGCAGCUUACUACACAGUUAUUGACGCUGAGGCAACGAAAAGCGUGGGGGAUCAAACAGG